CCACUAGUUGGUGCUAGAUUCUAUGAAACUUUGAAAGCGCGCAUGUGUUUAAAAAAAAGUUCUACUUGAAGGCACGUGGAUUCGCAUUUGACCAUCAGGAACUGGCAGUCUGACGGAACAACCCCACUCUCCCCUGCUGUCCAACCAUGACAGCAUCGUGACCAUCAUACUAAGACCGCCAGAAGGUUCAAAUAGCCCAAUGCUCAUAUUUUCAAGAUUUUUGCUGUUUGCUGAAAUAACAAAAGAGAAGAAAAAAUCCCAUAUGCUGAUCAGGAAGAAGAAUAGGAACUGGUUUUAGAAUACACAUAAGUGAGAAAAUAAAGUAAUAUUACCAUGA